AUAUAUCCGAGAUGUUGACAAAAAACAAGUGGGCCGAUCCUGGUGAUAGUUGCAGAAAGGGUCCAAGCUCCAUGGCACGAACAUUGUACGAUAAUUAUUUUUGAUAGUUCAUUGAACAACCAAUAUAUAAGAAAUGAGUAUUCCACAUUUCAUUUAAAGUUUUUUUUUUAGUAGUACAAGAGCUAUUCUUGUUGACAUAGGACACAUGGAAGCUGCAGAGACAUUGCUUUUUCGAGGAAUCUGCGUGCGUCGCACGAUACAUAAACAUAGAAGGCACGGACGACAGGCGCGCAUCCCAUGCUCAUUAAGCACACAAACACGAAAGCAAGAUUCGGACGACACGGGUGUAACCUGCGCCACACGAGCGAGGGAAUAUCGUAGCUUUGAUGCUUUCCGACAGUUACAACGCGCACUGAAACAUCGCACACUGCACAUGUGUACCUCAGAGAUCGUUCCAACAAUUUCUGGGGCUAAAGUUGACGUUAACGACAUCAGGAAGUUAUCUAGAAGGAAGGUGGUACACAAAUCAUUCAAAUCACGCCCCAGCGAUGGCUUUCAAAGGACAACAUAACCCCAAUCUCUAAGGCCAUGCUUUUGCUGGCUGCAGACGGCAGAAGCAAUUCAAAAUUUAAAAUACAUCAUAAAAUUUCUUUCUACGAUAAACUAUAGCGUAAAAUAUGGAGUGUUCGGUGGUUUGUUUUAUCUCGCAACAUAUAUACGUAGCUGGGCGCAACACGACACAAAAUAUGAGUUUACUGGUUAAUAUAUUUGGCAUCACGGAGGCCACAACAACCUCACAAGUACGCAGGUGGCGCUGUUGUUUUUCCUGCGUCUUCAACGUGCCGGUCGUCUGUGUGAGCUGCUUGAUCGUGUGGUUUUGUGUUUGCUUUAAUGAAAUGGGACGUAGUUAGCGUGCACAAAAGUGCCAGAAGAUACCUUGUGUUUCGUUGCAAACUCGCCGUAUGCGUGGCGCGCCAGGCAAACAUGGACCAACGAUUUUUGUGCCGUGGCCUUUGUGUCGGGUUGUCGUGGAAAGUUGGGUGGACAUCGCAAAGAAAUCAUUCCUAUUGGUAGCGUGCCUCAGAUCGUCCACUACGCAGCGGCAUGUAUGCUGGGAGUAACAUCGUCGACGCAGCACCGGCAACUUGGAGAGCGUCGUGCCAUUGAAAAGUGGUGAGGCCGUGACCCACAGCAGUGUCCACAUGAUGGCAGGGAACCUGUGGCCCUGGCUACAGCAGCACAGCGUGUAAUCUGGAUGUCACGUCAGGUGAACGAUCUUAUCUGGCCUGAAGUCCUAUGGCGGCAAUGCACGACCGCAUUGGGGAGGCUGAGGUUCAGGGCAAGAGCCUUUAUGGAAAGGGCAGUAACAGGCACAAGAAGGACCCAGUGAAGGAGGGAUUGGAUCCAGUUCAUCUGAAUGCUGUAAUUGGGCUGCGCAAGUGGACCCACACACACAGUGGCUAUACACGCACCUGGUCAUUCACAAACAUAUGCACACACUAGCAGGUCGUUCGGGAAUUUUGCCAUGCGCCAUUCCUCUUCCCGUUAAGGCACUCCGCACGUCUGACCACCAGGGGACACACUCUCGCUACCUUCGUGUGCACAGCCAUAAAUAAUGGCGGCACCAUGCAUCUGACAUUGGUUGAAGUUCAGCAUCUGUUCGUUCACGUUCCACCGAAUGAUAUAGAAAGUUAGUAUUGUUCUGCUAGUGUGCUACAAUGCUAUGCUAAAUUUUCAUCUUGUUUCUUGCAGGUUACAUCCUCCAGCAAGUUCAGGACGACAAAUGUGCAGCUCAAAAGCAGCCUGUCCUCCAUGCUAAGCAGGGAGAUUAAGUAGCCUGGAAAGCAGGUGGUCCUGUAAAUACAGGGUGUUUUUUUUAGCUGCACCAAAUUUUUAAAAUUAGAAAAAUAUAUACCUUGGUCACGUUAGCUUUACCAUUCGAGUGUACGGAUUGGCGGCCUCUAGAUACAGAGCAAUUAGUCACUUAAGUGUGUAAUUAGUGAAGUUAAGCUAAUUAACUUUCUAAUUAUCAACUAUAGGUGGCUACAGCAAAUGAGUACUUUGGGGCCCGUCGUCGACACUACCUAUCCCAACGAUGAAAUUUUGAAUAGCGGAGUUCAUGUGGGAGCUACACGAGCAAUUAGUUCCCUUUGGCAAGCUUCUUGAAACCGAAUUAGGCCGCAAAAAGAGCGUCUGUGUCGUCGAUGUCACCGCCCCCCUGCCUUUCGUAACAUCUCCGAGGUAAGCGCCAGUCCGGCCCCGCGAGCAGCUUGCAUUAUUUCCUUGCUAUCUGCGGCGUUCGCAGUCGACGCUACAGACUGAUAUGAUGCCGUGCCUGCAGUAUCUAAAAGCCCAAUUUAAGGAGCAGGGUUGGCGCUACAGCGCAACAUGAUGCCCAACAGAAUGACGAAGUAAAUUUGGCGGCCCACCGUCAUUGAAGCGCUAGGCCACCGCUGCAGACAGCCAGGAAAUAAUGCAAGCUGCUCGUUGGGCUGGACCGGCGGAGACGUGACGAAAGGCGGGGGGGGGGGGGGGGGCGACGACACAGACGCUCUUUUUGCGGCCAGUUUCGGUUUCAAGGAGCCUGCCAAGGGGAACUAAUUGUUCGCGUAGCUCCCACAUGAACUCCGCUAUUCAAAAUUUGACUGUUGGGAUAGGUAGUACUCAUUUGUACUCAGUACUCAUUUGCUGUAGCUACCUAUUGUUGAUAAUUAGAAAAUUAAUUAGUGUAACUUCGGUAAUUAUGCAUGUAAGUGCUGAAAUUGCUAUGUAUCUAGAGGCUGCCAAUCCGUACACUUGAAUGGUAAAGAUAACGUGACCAAGAUUCACAUCUUUCUAAUUUCAAAAAUUUGGUGCAACUAAAAAGAACACCCCGUAUGUGCUAUCUAGUCAUGUUUGCGAUUUCUAUGUCAGCACAUUCUUAAAUAAAUAUGAACCAACUCAACUAUAUAUACAUCUGCUCAUUUAUUACCCUGUUUAAUUUAUAGCUGGCUCAACAAUGCAGCAUUUGUAUCCAAAUGCCUGCAUCGCUAGGCAUCCAAGAUUGAUGGGCAUGGGUAGACUCGCAUAUAUAGAACGAUGGAUAGCCACUCAUUGCCAGAAAUGGUCUGCUGGAGUUUACAUUACAACUCUUUGUAGUGACCAUACUUUCAUGUUGAUAAUUUGUGCCAUGCAAAUUGAGGAAUGUUAAUGUAGUGCAUAGAAAGCCAAGUGUGCAGGCAUUCAGAAGGGUUACUAAUGCACUGUGUUAGAAUAGCAAUGAACCAAAAAAAAUAUCUAUUGACCUGUGUACUGCAAACAUUCGCUUGCAUGACCAGCAAUAGAGAUAUCUGCAUUGCGGCCUUUAAUGUCAACCUAAUGUUAACGUUCAAUUGCAUGUCAUUAGGAAACGCAUCAGAAGCUCAUGCGUCAGGUGCACAUCAGAAACUCGUACGUCAGAUGCACAUCAGAAACUCAUGCGUCAGGUGCACAUCAGAAACUCAUGCGUCAGGUGCACAUCAGAAACUCAUGCAUCAGGUACUCUAUAGAAAUACGGUGGCCAAUUUGUAAUAGACUCACAUUAGGAAUACAUCAGAAAGCGCAUUAGACAGUCAUUAGCCACUCAAAUGAUUCUGUUGCAUAAAGACAUCAGCCUCUCUAUAGAAAGACAUUAAAUUUUUUCA